UGCUCGCCCCAGCUCUCGCCUUCCCCGAAGCUGGUAAGAGCCGUUUGGAUAUCGCAGCGAGAACUCCGGAGUGGCUCGCAGCAGCGGUGCGUCUCCGGGGAAGGGGGCACGCCGUUCCUCCAGCUCUGCGUGCCGAGCUCAGAGCCCCGAUAAACGCAAGGAACUAUCUGUGGGUUUGAAUUAAGAUUCUGAAAACACCCGGUGUCUUCUUCACAGAGCUUGCAUCAAGAUAACAGAAGAUCUUGUUCUAUUCUUCUUGUAUUGAAAGGGAGACUUGACAAUGACAUAAAGGUGGGGAAGAAUGGCCCUGCAGCUUCUCUGACAUGGAAGGAUCUACAUAGAUGCAUACGUCAACAGCAAACCAGUCACACUUGAUAUUCCAGGAUAAACUGACCUUAGAGGAAUCAAACUGCGAUCAAUAACUGAGACAAGAAUUGGCUCUUGUUCUUCACUCUGAAUAUAUUCCUGUUGUCUUCUUUCACAGAGGACCAGUAUGCAUUUGGAAUGGUGUAGGUUUGGAUAGAAAGCAACAGACUGCAAUUUAAAAUUUACAGAUGAGGCAUGCAAUCAACUGCAUAUAGGUAACUGCAAUCCAACCUAUGUGGCAGCCAGUCUGUCAGAAAUUUGCUCCCUUUGAUGCAAACCUUUACAGCACAGUUCUUUUUGGCUCAUCUUCCAUGUAUCAAAGCCACCUGAUACAGGACUACUGCUUUGGGAAUGAUAAGUAACAUUGCCUGUGCUUGAAUCUGAGUGACAGUGUCUCUUCCCAGAAGCAGGAUCCUUUUAUAUUCUUUCUCUUAUUAGUUCUCUUUUGAAGUCCACAUAUCUGCAGCAUUCAGCAAACCAAACCUAUCAGCUUCUGUCAUGAAAGCUUCAUUCUUUAUCUUUAUUCCUAGUAUUUUAUUAUUACAAGCAAUCCUGUCUGAAACUGUUUCUUGAAGGAAGUCACAAGGAAUAAUAGACUACUCCAGAUUUUGAGACAUGCUUUCCUGUCACUGUACUUAGAUAUAAUAAUUAGGAAGGAGCCAACAGUUGCACCUUAAAAAAUAGUUUGAUUAGAGUUUGAUUCUUGAUUAAAUUAGAAGAUCUCCGUCAGCAGCUUACAACUGUUAUUUGUUCAACUUGAAUUGGUUUCCCUGAGCCAAUAAUGAGAAUCUAUUCCCUAGAAAGUUUGUCCAAGUUAUUACGCUUUUAUAAUUAGUCUAAUAAUGUAUAAUAUAAUAUUAACUAAGACAGCAGGUCGUGAUAUUUAUUGUAUAAAACUGUUUUCUCAG